UAGCAGGAGGAGUAAACACGAUUCGUU
rnacentral:misc_RNA from 1 species